AGNNAACNCUNGNGGCAGGCUUANCACAUGCAAGUCGAGCGGGCAUAGCAAUAUGUCAUCGGCAGACGGGUGAGUAACGCGUGGGAACGUACCUUUUGGUUCGGAACAACGCAGGGAAACUUGUGCUAAUACCGGAUAAGCCCUUACGGGGAAAGAUUUAUCGCCGAAAGAUCGGCCCGCGUCUGAUUACCUAGUUGGUCAGGUAAUGGCUCACCAAGGCGUCGAUCAGUACCUGGUCUGAUAGGAUGAUCAUCCACAUUGGGACUGAAACACGGCCCAAACUCCUACGGGAGGCAGCAGUGGGGAAUAUUGGACAAUGGGCGCAAGCCUGAUCCAGCCAUGCCGCGUGAGUGAUGAAGGCCCUAGGGUUGUAAAGCUCUUUUGUGCGGAAAGAUAAUGACGGUACCGCAAGAAUAAGCCCCGGNUAACUUNNUG
rnacentral:rRNA from 1 species